rnacentral:rRNA from 1 species
UACGAAGGGUGCAAGCGUUAAUCGGAUUUACUGGGCGUAAAGCGUACGCAGACGGUGAGAAAGGUCGGAUGUGAAAGCCCCGGGCUCAACCCGGGAACUGCAUCCGAAACCAUCUCGCUAGAGUAUGAGAGAGGGAAGCGGAAUUCCUGGUGUAGAGGUGAAAUUCGUAGAUAUCAGGAGGAACACCGGCGGCGAAGGCGGCUUCCUGGCUCAUUACUGACGUUCAGGUACGAAAGCGUGGGUAGCAAACAGG